rnacentral:rRNA from 1 species
UUGACCUCAAAUCAGGUAGGGCUACCCGCUGAACUUAAGCAUAUCAAUAAGCGGAGGAAAAGAAACUAACAAGGAUUCCCCUAGUAACUGCGAGUGAAGAGGGAAAAGCUCAAAUUUAAAAUCUGGCAGUCUUACUGUCCGAGUGUAAU